UGAGUAACCUGCCCUUAACUCUGGGAUAAGCCUGGGAAACUGGGUCUAAUACCGCGUACGACCACUCGGGGACAUCCCCAGGUGGUGAAAGCAGCAAUGCGCCGAUGGAGUGCCUCGCGGCCUAUCAGCUAGUUGGUGAGGUAACGGCUCACCAAGGCGACGACGGGUAGCCGGCCUGAGGAGGGUCGACCGGCCACACGUGGGACUAAGACACGGCCCAGACCUCCGUACGGGGAGGCAG
rnacentral:rRNA from 1 species